rnacentral:rRNA from 1 species
ACGCUGGCGGCGUGCCUAAUACAUGCAAGUAGAACGCUGAAGAGAGGAGCUUGCUCUUCUUGGAUGAGUUGCGAACGGGUGAGUAACGCGUAGGUAACCUGCCUUGUAGCGGGGGAUAACUAUUGGAAACGAUAGCUAAUACCGCAUAACAAUAGGUGACACAUGUCAUUUAUUUGAAAGGGGCAAUUGCUCCACUACAAGAUGGACCUGCGUUGUAUUAGCUAGUAGGUGAGGUAACGGCUCACCUAGGCGACGAUACAUAGCCGACCUGAGAGGGUGAUCGGCCACACUGGGACUGAGACACGGCCCAGACUCCUACGGGAGGCAGCAGUAGGGAAUCUUCGGCAAUGGGGGCAACCCUGACCGAGCAACGCCGCGUGAGUGAAGAAGGUUUUCGGAUCGUAAAGCUCUGUUGUAAGUCAAGAACGAGUGUGAGAGUGGAAAGUUCACACUGUGACGGUAGCUUACCAGAAAGGGACGGCUAACUACGUGCCAGCAGCCGCGGUAAUACGUAGGUCCCGAGCGUUGUCCGGAUUUAUUGGGCGUAGAGCGAGCGCAGGCGGUUUGAUAAGUCUGAAGUUAAAGGCUGUGGCUCAACCAUAGUUCGCUUUGGAAACUGUCUAACUUGAGUGCAGAAGGGGAGAGUGGAAUUCCAUGUGUAGCGGUGAAAUGCGUAGAUAUAUGGAGGAACACCGGUGGCGAAAGCGGCUCUCUGGUCUGUAACUGACGCUGAGGCUCGAAAGCGUGGGGAGCGAACAGGAUUAGAUACCCUGGUAGUCCACGCCGUAAACGAUGAGUGCUAGGUGUUGGAUCCUUUCCGGGAUUCAGUGCCGCAGCUAACGCAUUAAGCACUCCGCCUGGGGAGUACGACCGCAAGGUUGAAACUCAAAGGAAUUGACGGGGGCCCGCA